rnacentral:tRNA from 1 species
UGGGCUGGGGCUCAGUGGUAGAGCACUCGCCUCGCACUGCGAGACCCUGGGUUCAAUCCUCAGCACCACAU